rnacentral:pre_miRNA from 1 species
AUGUAGGGCAAUCUGUCUUUAUGUAGAAGCAAAUUACUCUUUAAAAAAGAAUCCUAGUUUUCCCUUUAAGUCAAGUAUCUUGU